rnacentral:piRNA from 1 species
GUCGAUUGCAGGAGAGCUGGACCUAGA